rnacentral:rRNA from 1 species
AAUUCGAUUAGUUUGAUCAUGGCUCAGAAUCAACGCUGGCGGCGUGCCUCAGACAUGCAAGUCGAACGCGAAAGUUUCCUUCGGGAGACAAGUAGAGUGGCGCACGGGUGAGUAACACGUAGGUAAUCUACCUUUGGAUGGGGAAUAACAGUCGGAAACGGCUGCUAAUACCGCAUAAUGCAGCGGCACCUAAUGGUGACAGUUGUUAAAGCGGGGGAUCGAAAGACCUCGCGUCUGAAGAGGAGCCUGCGGCGGAUUAGCUAGUUGGUAAGGUAAUGGCUUACCAAGGCUACGAUCCGUAACCGGCCUGAGAGGGCGGUCGGUCACACUGACACUGACAUACGGGUCAGACUCCUACGGGAGGCAGCAGUCGGGAAUUUUGGGCAAUGGGCGAAAGCCUGACCCAGCAACGCCGCGUGAAGGAUGAAAUCCCUCGGGAUGUAAACUUCGCAAGAACGGGAAGAAUAAGCGAUAGUUAAUAUCUGUCGUGAUGACGGUACCGUUUGUAAGCUCCGGCUAACUCCGUGCCAGCAGCCGCGGUAAUACGGGGGGAGCAAGCGUUGUUCGGAUUCACUGGGCGUAAAGGGCGCGUAGGCGGUCAGCACAAGUCAGUUGUGAAAUCUCCGAGCUUAACUCGGAAAGGUCAACUGAUACUGUGCGACUAGAGUGCGGAAGGGGCAACUGGAUUCUUGGUGUAGCGGUGAAAUGCGUAGAUAUCAAGAG